AUUGAACGCUGGCGGCAUGCCUUACACAUGCAAGUCGAACGGCAGCACGGGAGCAAUCCUGGUGGCGAGUGGCGAACGGGUGAGUAAUAUAUCGGAACGUGCCCGGUCGUGGGGAUAACGUAGCGAAAGCUACGCUAAUACCGCAUACGAUCUACGGAUGAAAGCGGGGGAUCGCAAGACCUCGCGCGAUUGGAGCGGCCGAUAUCAGAUUAGGUAGUUGGUGAGGUAAAGGCUCACCAAGCCGACGAUCUGUAGCUGGUCUGAGAGGACGACCAGCCACACUGGGACUGAGACACGGCCCAGACUCCUACGGGAGGCAGCAUGGGGAAUUUUGGACAAUGGCGCAAGCCUGAUCCAGCAAUGCCGCGUGCAGGAUGAAGGCC
rnacentral:rRNA from 1 species